GAUGAACGCUGGCGGCGUGCCUAAUACAUGCAAGUCGAGCGGACGGACGAGAAGCUUGCUUCUCUGAUGUUAGCGGCGGACGGGUGAGUAACACGAGGAUACCCUACCUAUAAGACUGGGAUAACUUCGGGAAACCGGAGCUAAUACCGUAUAAUAUUUUGAACCGCAUGGUUCAAAAGUGAAAGACGGUCUUGCUGUCACUUCUAGAGGGAUCCGCGCUGCAUUAGCUAGUUGGUAAGGUAACGGCUUACCAAGGCAAGGCUGCAUAGCCGACCUGAGAGGGGGGUCGGCCACACUAGAACUGAGCCACGGUCCAGACUCCUACGGGAGGCAGCAGAAGGGAAUCUUCCGCAAUGGGCGGAAGCCUGACGGAGCAACGCCGCGUGAGUGAUGAAGGUCUUCGGAUCGUAAAACUCUGUUAUUAGGGAAGAACAUAUGUGUAAGUAACUGUGCACAUCUUGACGGUACCUAAUCAGAAAGCCACGGCUAACUACGUG
rnacentral:rRNA from 1 species